CUGGAGCACUCUUGAGCACCUUCAUUGAGAAGAAACUUGACUGGAAGGGGGCUCAAGAGAGGCCUCCAUCCAGACAAGUAUGAGGAAAAUUGGACUGGAUGAGGCUGGACAUCACCUAACACACAGUAGGUGUCAAGAUAUGUUUGUUAGAUACAUGAAUAAAUGAAUGAAUGAAUGAAUGAAUGAAUGAAGAAAAAUGGAUUCUGUCUGCUUUUGCUCCUGCAGUGGAUUCUGAGCCUGAGUUCACCUCAUAGUGGCCUUAACUCUCAGCUAAGAGAGGAGAAAGGUGUGGGAGAGAAGGGGUUGGUGUCCUCAUGCUCUUGGCAGAAACUUCCAUGGAGGUUGAAAGCCUUCCUUGAAUCUGUUCAUCACUCUCUUCACCUUUCCCUAAUUUUCCCAGUCUUAUCCCCAUCCACAUCCCCAGGUGCUAGGCCUUGGAAUAGGGACCCUGAGAGAGAGGGAGAUGUCUGUCUAGUGCUUCUCUUUGAUGCAUAUUAGGUAUGGCCUGAGGGGUGAGCUUAAGGGAGAUUCCAGAGGUCUCUCACAGGGUUUUCAGCCCAAGUGCCUGCUAGCUGUGUCAAGAAAGGUGCUCCUCAAGUGCUCCUUGAUAUAUUAAUGGGGAUGCUAAAGGCAAGGGAUAUGGGACCUAGUACAGGCUAGAAAUAGAGGACUUUGGACUGUUACCUUGGGAGAGAGAUGAAGCUCACAUCCGUCUCCAGGUCUGGUUGCUAUGCUCGCCUCCUCAGCCUCUUAUACUUAAGGUCGUUUGAGUUUAGAUUGGUGGGGGUCAGCGAAGAAGAAUAGAGUUAUGGGAGGGGGGCAUAAAAUACUUCUUUAUAAAUAGCUCGGGUGCCAAGAAUUUGGAAAGCAGAUUAAAGACUAAAAGAUUAGUGGCUAAAGAUUAGCAAGUUCUUGCUGCUGGGACAAGGUGGGGGUAGGUGUUGAAUCUGAUGGUGUUAAAGUUAGGGGAACUUGCGAAGAAGAACUACAGAGUUUUGGCUUUAUGAGGCAUUGAACCUGAGGACUGGGAUCAAAGGGGAGUCAGAGACAUUAAAGGAAAAGCAUGGUGAGGGAUAGAAAUAGGAGGACUCAAAGUAUAGGUCUUUGUGAUUCUGAAAGGAGAGUGUUGUGUCACACACUAGUGUUUCUGUAUCUCUUGAUCAGUUAUUAUAGGCCACACAAAAGCCAAAAGUUUGGGAAAGAGUGCCCUUUCCCAGCCCCACACCACGUGAGACUUAGGACUCUUGAAGCAUACUGUUCAGAAGCCUUGAUUAUCCCAGCUUAUGUGCACAGCAGGAGUCAAUCUCCUGUAAGUGGGGGUGGUGACUGGGGAGGGGAGGUUGAGUGUAUUGAGCUGUGUGUGCACAUGUUUGUGAGCCUUGAACUUUUCUUGUUGGAGAGGAAGGUAUCAAACGAUUCUUGGCCCAGGAGCAGGUUCUCCGGAAAGGAUGUUGCAUGUGGAGGGAAUAGGCAAUUGACAUUUGUAUCACCCCCACCUAACGUAAACCUUCCCCCUCAGUUUUUGAGUCUCCCCAAUCCAACUAAGUCCGUGUUAUACGCUCUAAGCAGCUUCACUUGCCUCGUAUGACCACUCGUGGAAUUAGAGAUAUUUCUGUCCUACAGCUGCCAGGACCCCCAUAGUGGCAGCAGCAAUAGUAAUCUUCCUUUCUUGGCUGUCCUUCUCAUAGGGGCCAGGUCCAGGCUUUGUGGACAUAGAGAAUGUAGAGACAGAACCUCCAAACUCUGGGGAUACAGGACCCUACCCUGCCUCCACCUCCCCAUAGAGUUGGCUGGUCUUCAGUAUCUAUCCAUAGAUGCCAGCCCUCAACCCUCAUUCCUCAGGGGAUGGCUAUGGCUGUGGCUCAGAGGGCUGGGCCUUCCCUACCUCCUUCUCCUUACUGUGGCUGCUGACAGCUGACAGCUGUCCCAUAUUCCUUUUGUACAGCUAACUAUGUUAGCCUUUGCCAUUUCUUGCCAGUAUAUGACCCAGGGGCUUGUAUUUUAGUUGCUGUUACUCUGCCCUUCUCAGGGAUUUUCAGUUAGAGGCAGAAGCCCAGACUCUGCAGGGACCAUAGUGGGACUGAAACUAAUGCUGGACAUACAGGAGAGUUAUGUACUUGCCAAAGUUGGUGUCUGUGGGGAAGGCAAAACUUCAGAAUGAAUGUACUUUUGGACUAGCCUUCAGCUUAUUUUUGUCUCCAGACCCACACUUGAAGCUUUUCCCCUCUUUCAGCUCAGAUCCAUGGUCCUCUCAGCAGGAAGAGAAUAGAUCUGGUAGGUCUUUAAUUCAUUACUAUGAUUGAACUUAAAUCAUUAUCUCUUUUCUAGGAGUAUGUGCAUUGCUUGACUGAGGUAUAAUUUACAAAUAGAAAAUUACACAAAUCUUAAUGGCACAGCUUGAUAUAUUUGUAUUUACUGUGGUAGGCUAAAUUAUGGACCCGAAAGGUAUACAGUCCUAAUCCCUGGAACCUAUGAAUGUUACCUUAUGUGGCAAAAGGGACUUUGCAGGCAUGAUUAAAUUAAGGGUCUUGAGAUGAUUAUUCUGCAUCAUCUAGGUGGGCCCUAAAUUUAACCACUAGUAUUUUUAAAGAGGGAAAACUCUGUUUCCGUCUAUAGCUUCUCUGUAGCUAGAAGGAGAUUGGGCUACCUAAACAAGGCAAUAUGAGAACUGAAGCAAGAUGCUAUGUUAUUGGCUUUGAAAAUGGAGGAAGGGGCCACAGUCAAGGAAUGCAGCUCUCGAGGGACAAGGGCAUGGAUUCAAACCCAUAGUCUCUUAUGGUCACAAGGUGGCUGUUGCUGUUCAGGUGUAGCCUGGCUGACAACUUGAUUUUGGCCCAAUGAAACUGAUUUUGGAUUUCUUACCUCCAGAACUGUAAGAGAGUAAGUACUUUUUUAAGCCACCAAGUCUAUGGUAAAUUGUUCUACAGCAUCAAUAGGAAACUAAUAUACCUGUGUGUACAUGCAUGUAACCAUUACCUGGAUCAAGAUAUAUAAAACAUUUCCAUCUCCCCCCAAAAUUCCCUUGUGUCUCUUUACAGUUUGUAGUCUCCAAAAGAAUUAUCACCAGCUUCAUUUUGAUCAAGACUAUUUGCAUUUUCUAGUAGGAUUUAUUCCUGGGCUUCCAAGGUGGUUCAAUAUUUGCAAAUCAACCAACAUGAUACACCACAUUAAGAAAAGAAAGGAGGGGCGCCUGGGUGGCUCAGUCGGUUAAGCGUCCGACUUCGGCUCAGGUCAUGAUCUCACGGUCCGUGAGUUCGAGCCCCGCGUCGGGCUCUGUGCUGCCAGCUCAGAACCUGGAGCCUGUUUCAGAUUCUGUGUCUCCCUCUCUCUGACCCUCCCCCAUUCAUGCUCUGUUUCUCUCUGUCUCAAAAAUAAAUAAACAUUAAAAAAAUUUAAAAAAAAAAAAGAAAAGAAAAGAAAGGAUAAGAACCAUACGAUCCUUUCAAUAGAUUCAGAAAAAGCAUUGGACAAAGUACAGCAUCCAUUCAUAUUAAAAAAAAACCCUCAACAAACUAGGGUUAAAGGAAACAUAUCUCAAUAUAAUAAAGGCUAUAUAUGAAAAACCCACAGCUAAUAUCAUCCUCAAAGGGGAAAAACUGAGAGCUUGUCCUCUAUGGUUAGGAACAAGACAGGAAUGUUCACUCUCACCACUGUUAUUUAACAUAGUACUGGAAUUUCUAGCCACAAUCGAAAACACAAAGAAAUAAAAAGUAUCCAAAUUGGCAAGGAAGAAGUCAAACUUUCACUAUUUGCAGAUGACAUGAUACUCUAUAUAGAAAAUCCAAAAAUUCCACCAAAAAAUUGCUAGAACUGAUACACAAAUUCAGUAAAGUUGCCGAAUACACAAUCAAUGUACAGAAAUCUCUUGCAUUUCUUUACACCAAUAAUGAAGCAGCAGAAAGAGAAAUCAAGAAAUCAAUCCCAUUUACAAUUGCACCAAAAACCAUGAGAUGCCUAGGAAUAAAUCUAACCAAAGAGAUAGAAGAUCUGUCCUCUGAAAACUAUGAAAGAAAUUGAUGAAAGAAAUUGAUGACACAAAGAAAUAGAAAAACAUCUCAUGCUCAUGGAUUGGAAGAACAAAUAUUGCUAAACUGUCUAUACUACCCAAAGCAAUCUACACAUUUAAUGCAAUCCCUAUCAAAAUACCACCAGCAUAUUUCACGGAGCUAGAACAAACAAAAUUUGUAUGGAAUCACAGAAGACCCCAAGUAGCCAAAGCAGUCUUGGAAAAGAAAAGCAAAGGUGGAGGCAUCAUAAUUUCAGACUUCAAGUUAUAUUUCAGAGCUGUAGGAAUCAAAACAUCAUGGUACUGGCAUAAAAAUAGACACAUAGAUCAAUGGAACAGAAUAGAAAACACAGAAAUGAACCCACAACUAUAUGGUCAAUUAAUCUUCAACAAAGCAGGAAUGAAUAUCCAAAGGGAAAAAGAUAGUCUCUUCAACAAAUGGUGUUGGGAAAACUGGACAGCAACGUGCAAAAGAAUGAAACUGGACCACUUCUUACACCAUACACAAAAAUAAAUUCAAAAUGGAUGAAAGAUUUAAAUAUGAGGCAGGAAACCAUUAAAAUCCUAGAUGAGAACACAGGCAGUAACCUGUUUGACAUUGGUGAUAGCAGCUUCUUACUAGAUACAUCUCCUGAGGCAAGAGAAACAAAAGCAAAUAUGAACUCUUGUGACUUCAUUAAGAUAAAAGCUUCCACACAAUGAAGGAAACAAUCAACAAAACUAAAAGGCAACCUGCUAAAUGGGAGAAGAUGUUUGCAAAUGACAUAUCUGCUAAGAGCUAGUAUCCAAAAUCUAUAAAGAACUUCUUCUAAAACUCAACACCCGAAAACCAAACAAUCCAGUUAAAAAAUGGCCAGAAGACAUGAAUAGACAUUUUUCCAAAGAAGACAUUUAGAUGGCCAACAAACACAUAAAAGAUCCUCAACAUUACUCACCAUCAGGGGAAUACAAAUCAAAAUUACAAUGAUACCUCACACCUGUCAGAAUGGCUAAAAUUAACACAGGAAACAACAGGUGUUGGCGAGGAUGCAGAGAAAGGGGAACCCUCUUAGACUGUUGGUAGGAAUGCAAACUGGUGCAGCCACUCUGGAAGACAGUAUGGAGAUUUCUUAAAAAGUUACAGAUAGAACUGCCCUAAGAUCCAGCAAUUGCACAACUUGGCAUUUACCCAAAGGAUACAAAAACACUAAUUUGAAGGGAUGUGUGCAUACUGAUGUUUAUAGCAGUAUUAUCUAUAAUAGCCAAAUUAUGGAAAGAGCUGAAAUGUCCAUCGAUUGAUAAAUGGAUAAAGAAAUGAUGGUAUGUAUAUAUGUGUGUAUAUGUGUGUGUGUGUAUGAAUAUUACUCAGCCAUAUAAAAGAAUGAAAUCUUGCCAUUUGCAAAGAUAUGGAUGGAGCUAGAGAGUAUAAUGCUAAGCAAAAUAAGUCAGAGAAAGACAAAUACCAUAUGAUUUCACUCAUAUGUGGAAUUUAAGAAUCAAAACAAAUGAACAUGGGAGAAAAAAAAGAAAACCAAGAAACUGACUCUUAACUAUAGAGAAAAACUUAUGGUUACCAUAGGGGAGGUGAGUGGGAGGAUGGCUGAAAUAAGUGAUGGGGAUUAAGGAAGGGGUGCACUUGUGAUGAGCACUGGGUGUUGUAUGUAAGUCUUGAGUCAUCAUAUUGUACACCUGAAACUAAUAUUACACUGUAUGAUAACUAACUGGAAUUUAAAUAAAAAUUUGGAAAAAAAAGAGUAUUUACAUUUUCUGAGGAGGCCAGAGUAAGAAGGCAAAGGAAUGCAUCUUUGAUUAUGGAAUUUCUGGCCCCUAUGAUAGAUUGACGGGAGAGUUUUUUCAGGUCCUAACCCACCUCACUUGCACACCCCAAUGAUUUUCCCAACCAGGCCUUCCAAUUAGGAAGUGAUGAUAAGAUCUCUGAAUGAGAAAGGGAUGGUUAUUCAGUAAGGGGUUGUAGCAGACAGAAUUGUUUGUUGACUCAAUAGCCACCUCCCCCUUCUUUCUUGUGGCCAGAAUCUCCAUUUUCUAUGCCAAUCAUGGUCAUUUCAUCCCUCCUGCUAGUGACUGGUUUAGUUAUAGGCAUGAUGUAAUUCAGGCCACUGAGAUGUGAAAGGAAGUGUGCUAGGGAAGUUCUGAGAAAGGUUUCCUGAGUAAUAGCGGUAAACACACAGGAAGAGAGGCCUUCCUCUCCUACCAUUGAACAUUACCAUGUUUGGAUACAAUGCCUGAAGUGUAACAGCCAUCUGGUGACCAUGAGAGUUGCUAAACAAACAUACUGAGGGGUUGUAGAUCAGAAAGAUGGAAAGAAUCAGUAUUUUUUUUAAUGCUUAUUUAGUUUUUGAGAGAGAGAGAGAGAGAGACAGAACAUGAGGGGGGAGGGGCAGAGAGAGAGACACACACAGAAUCCGAAACAGGCUCCAGGUUCUGAGCUGUCAACACAGAGCCCAAUGCGGGGCUUGAACUCACAAACUGUGAGAUCAUGACCUGAGCUGAAGUCAGAUGCUUAAUCCACUGAGCCACCUAGUCGCCCCUAGAGUCAGGAUUUUUUUAUGACAUUGUUGAGCUGUUGAAUUAGGCAACUCCAAAGCUGCCCACUCCUGGAUUUAGAUGCAAGAUAAUAAAUUUCCUCCUUUUAAAGUCAGCUGAGUUGGAAUUUUCUGUUCUUUCAAUUGAAAGUAUAUACCAGCAGACUUAAAUGGGAUCCGCACAAUGGCAGUGACAUUGGGAGAGGAUAGAAAGGAAACAGAUGAAUCAAAUGGUAGGAACAGAGACUUCCUGUGCUGUCUUAGGUGCUGGACACAGCGGUACUAGCCUCUACUCUAAAGAUUUGUUUAAAAAAAUGUUUAUUCGGGGUGCCUGGGUGGCUUAGUCGGUUAAGCAUCCGACUUCGGCUCAGGUCAUGAUCUCACGGCUCAUGAGUUCAAGCCCUGCAUUGGGCUCUGUGCCAACAGCUUAGAGCCUGGAGCCUGCUUUGGAUUCUGUGUCCCUCUCUCGCUCUGCCCCUCCCCUGCUCAUGCUCUGUCUGUCUCUCCCUUUCUCUCAAGAAUAGAUAAACAUUAAAAAAUUUUUUAAAAAGUUUAUUCAUUUAUUUUGGGAGAGAGAGAGCAUGCAAGCAGGAGAGAGGCAGAGAGAAAGGGAGAAAGAGAAUCCCAAGCAAGCUCUGUGCUGUCAGCACAGAGUCUGAUGUGGGGCUCAAUCUCACAAACCUGUGAGACCAUGACCUGAGCUAAAACCAAGAGUCUGACACUUAACCAGCUGAACCACCCAGGCACCUCUCUUCUCUAAAGCUUUUAAUAGCCUUGCUGGAGGUAAAGAACAGACAUUUAGAAAGACUAAAAGGGCAUACUACAGAAAAGACACCUGGACAAGGCUAACUUGGGCACAAUUAUAUGGAGCCAGUCAUUUUCCCAUGAUUUUAUUAAUAAGUUUGGAUUAUUCAGGGUUUCAGAUUACAGUUCCUUUCCAUCAAGGUUGAGUGACUGUCUUGUCCCACUCCACACUGCACCUUAUUCUCAUUAGGUGACCUCAUUAUUUCACUUCAUAAAGAAAACCCAGGCAACUGGGGUGAACUUUCCAAUCGCUAACACCCUCCAAAUUCACCUAUGUUUUAAUUCCUAAUGAUAAAGAGGAUGAUAAUUGCCAGAUGCUGUCUCAUUUUCUUCACACAACCAGAUAGGUGCUCAUAACUUCAUUCUACAUAUGAGGAAAUGGAGGUUCAGGAAAACUUACCUACAGUUAUAUAGCUAGUGGGUGAUGGAGCCAGAGUUAAACUCUAGGUCUGACUCCAAAACCUGCAUUUUCUCCUGUAUUUCACUUACUUUUUCUCCUUCAUUUCUUUCCUUCUGUCCUUAUUUCCUUCCUCUGUUCCUUCUCCCUCCAUCUCCUUCCUUCUUCCUCCCCCACCCUACCCCUACUCAGAUGAAAAGAUUAGAAACCGUACUUUUCCCUCGUUUCCCUCUUUAGGCCCUAAGGCAACAGGAGCAGAGAAGAGCAUUGCAGAGCAGAAGAAUUGAAGAGCAGAAGCAUUGCAGAGAAACUGUCAUCAAGGCAUGAAUAUUAGAUGUGAGGGGCCAAGAGGAGGAGGACUGGAAAAGACUGGAGGAAUAGGGGAACAGAAGGAUAUCAGUGGGAAAGAAUAAACUUUGCCUGACAUACUAAAUUCUAGAUUAUCAAUUAGGUACCCAAGUGGGUAUGUCC
rnacentral:lncRNA from 1 species